rfam:Zymoseptoria brevis strain Zb18110 contig4421, whole genome shotgun sequence.
GGCCUUGUAGCGCAAUCGGUAGAGUGCUGGUUUCCGAAGCCAGAGGCUCCGGGUUCGAGUCCCGGCAAGGUCG